GAACCCCGGGAACAGUCAAGAAUGUGCCCACCUGUCCUUUGUGUCAUCAGAAGCAGCUUCUAGAUUCCGGAGAAGUAUGGAUGUGUCUCCUUCAGGGCCGCCCACCGCGGGGCUGAGCUCAUGCAGCACACUACUGUUUGGAUUUCGUUUGGGAAAAUAUUACCUGCAGUUUGUUUUCAGAACUUCUUGUAAUGCUGCCAAAGGCCUUUGAGUGACUGUCAGUGUUUCUCAACUCUGUGAUACAAGAAUUGCCUGAGGUUUUUCAGAGACCUCAUCAUCAUGCCCUGUAGAGGGUGCUGGGCACACAGACCUCCCGCCAGGCUCCAGGCAGAAAAGCGGCUACACCAGCACCGGACGCACCCUCCAUCUGAGCCUGCGCAGAGGGCCCGGGUUUUCCAUUCACCACUUCCUGAAGAUUUUCCACCAGCGGGCCAGCGCUCAUCUGAGUUCUUCCAGGCUGGGACUCGCCCCUCCUAGUCUUCGCCACCCCAUCCGCCCCAUCCUGGUAGUUUCUCAGGAGCCCAGUGGUGGGUCCUCUUCCAGUAACUGCCCCCCCUGGCCUCCAGGGGGCUUGGGCCCCACGUGCUGUCUUGUCAACUUCCACCCCUUCCACCGUUCAGGAAGGCAUCAGGGUGCACUCCACCAAAAUGAGGAACACCAAGGAACAGAAGACGGGGGACAGAGGGAGGGGGACCAGGGGCCCUGGGGAGGCCUCCUGACCAUCCUGCAGCAGCUCACAACACAGACCUGCCACAGGGCAUGACCACGGAGCAAACACCUGCCUCCCACAGUCUAUUCAACAUGAAAACAGUGCUCACCAACUGCCUGGCCCACUUCUCUCUGUGUGUUCUCUUCUGUCCCUUCCCUGGAAAGCUGAGCACCUCGCUUCCUGAGCACCUGGGCACACGGAUUUCCAGGUGUGGCAGCCAGCGAGUCUGGAGGCAGAAAGGCCAGAGCAGCGCACUCCCUACGAGCUUCUAAGCAUGUACGCUCCUGCCGGACAGGUAGCACCUUGUCCACACCCGCCUGCCACCUGCCCCGGGGGCCCCAGGGCGCCCCAGGGCGCCCCAGGGAGGCGGAGGGGGGUCCACAGCAGAACCUUCCAGUUAUAUGUAAGGCAGAGAGAUGUGACACAGCAUCGUGCAAUGGCGAAGGACGACCACACUAUUGUGUGUCUGAAAUGAAUAUAACGUCAUACGUCAACUAUGCUUCAAUUAAAAAGUUUUCUCAUUAAAAGAAAAAUUUUGUGAUAGUAAUAUGAAGAAAAUCCAUGAACAAAUGAAUGAGAAACAUUUUGCAGCGAUUUAAAAGUACUGUGUUCCUCCUUCCUCAAUGAUUUUGAUUUCUGCUUCCUCAAAAGGGCUCAAUAAUGCUUUUUCACGGAGAACUUGGGAACAGGAGAAGAAAUGCAAGGGAGGGAUUGACACAAAAGGCAGGAUAAUGUCUCCUCUGGAGGGACAGGGUGUGGAGCGGGGACGCCUGGGGGUCCUCUGUGGUGCAUGUGUCCUGAUCUGUUCUUGUUUACCCACGUUACUGAGGUACAACUGUGUACAAAAAACUGUACGCACUGAAUACGCCCACUGUAUACACCCGCUCUAUACACCCACUGUAUACUGCUAGAUGAGGUUGGAGAUAAGUGGCCACCUGUGAACCCAUUAUGACAUUCUGUGGCAUAAACCUGUCCUCUCCUCCUGCCCUCUUCGUUAAUUUUCGUAUUCUUGAUAAGAACGCACGACGUGAGAUCUGCCUGCUUUCUGAUUGGCAGGCAGACGGCACAGUUGUUAACCACGGGCAGUGCACGACCUACGGUUCUUCGUACCCUUGACUGAUGACCCCCCCUUGUUCUCUUGUGAUCCUCUAAGUCCUAGACAUAUAUAUCAUGCUCUG